GCUGCGAUGGCUGAGCGGUGAAGGCGUUGGGCUUGAAAUCCAAUGGGGUUUCCCUGCGCAGGUUCAAAUCCUGCUCACAGCA
rfam:Apaloderma vittatum contig52497, whole genome shotgun sequence.